ensembl:lncRNA
CCUCUCUUUAAGCUCUGUUCAUAUUACAAAAAUAUUACAUGGUUCCUCCAACAGCCAGGGAUGUGUUGGCCAGAUGACUUUCUUUGUAUUUCAUCUGGAAAAGGUCUGAGGGGAUUCCACUAAACAGCCUGGAAAUCCCAAAUCCAGGGAUCAAGGACAGAGGAGUUAAAGUUAUUUCUAUGGCCAGUGUGUACAGUGCCCUUGCUUCCGUAUUCCUGUACUGUAGAGGUGUGGGAGCAGAGGACCUCUCUCUUUCCAUACUGCUAAUUUCAAGGCAAACACCAUGGACUAAGUUCAGCAACAAGAAACAUGGAAGAGCUGGUCCCUAGCUGGGUACAUCUCUUUGAUAUUACAGAGGUACAGGAUGCUCUAACACCAUCUCACUUCAAACUAGAGACCUGCCAUAGUAUCUUAUCUUCUACUGUCACCCUGACUCCAGUGCCAUAAAGAAACCAAUACUGUUUACUGGCAUACUGCACAGGUAGCUCCAUCUUUCAUGAGCUGAAAUCUGCCCUCUUCUCACUGUAUGAGAAGCUACAAGAUGUCCUUUGGACUCUCACCCAAGCAUGACCAGCUGCACAAGCAAGUCUGUGUUGUAAAGGUAACUGACAUCAGGAACAGAACAACCUCUAGAGAAGUAUUUGGCACAGAACACAUAAAACUAUGCUUUGCCUGGCUACUAUCAUCAGCGAGAAUCUCUGUCACCAUAGACAUAAUAAUCGGAAAGCUAUGACUGCGGCAAAAAUUAGUAAUAACAUCCAAUAUGCUAAGUAAGUUCCUUUUAGUGGUGUACCUGAGUUGUGCAAACAGGGAUAAAAUAAAACUCAUUUUCACCUUUAAAACCAUUCGAAUUUGUUUGCAUAGUAUUCCCGAUGUAUAAAGUAUUUUCAGGCAAUGAGCUUUAUGUUCAUAUAUGACAAAUUAAAGAAGAUUGAAUAACUUCAUCUAAACCACAUGGAGUCCCCUAUACUGAAUUUUCUCACUGAAUGCUCAAGAGCAAAAGUCUGAAUGAAUAGCAGAGAUUUACAGUGUGCCUCUGAGGUCAAGAAUCUUGUUCAGAAUGAACAAUAAAGGGAUCAAAUUCCAAUGGAGAGUGGUCACUCCUGAGCCCUUCUGGCCCGUUUUCCCUUACCAUACAAUGUGAAGGAUUAUUCACAAAAAAAAUACCUCAGCCAAUCUCAGUUCUUUGUCUGACUUAUGCAGAAAGAAGUAGCCUGCAAGGACUCCAGUCAUUUGGGCCUGCACUUGCUAAAUCAACACCUCCAGUUUCACUCAGAAACAGGUGGUCAGCAAGAGUCUCUGAAAAGCAAUCUGUAUAUUCUCUCCAUUAUUGCGGCCAAUUUACAAUAAAAUUAAAAAAAAAAAAAAAAAGCAGCUGAACUUUCCGUAAAGGGUGCAUUUUCAUGUUAGAUUAGGGACUCUCUUGCAAAGUGGAGAAUUAGGGUGCCAGAAACGACUAUGCUGCGAAACUACUGCUGAAGAUGAGAAAUGGGGAUACAUGGAAAAUCUGCUUCUAGCUGAC